rnacentral:rRNA from 1 species
AACGAACGCUGGCGGCAUGCCUAACACAUGCAAGUCGAACGAGACCUUCGGGUCUAGUGGCGCACGGGUGCGUAACGCGUGGGAACCUGCCCUUAGGUUCGGAAGAACUCCCCGAAAGGGGUGCUAAUACCGGAUAAUGUCAUCGGACCAAAGAUUUAUCGCCUUUGGAUGGGCCCGCGUUGGAUUAGCUAGUUGGUAGGGUAAAAGCCUACCAAGGCGACGAUCCAUAGCUGGUCUGAGAGGAUGAUCAGCCACACUGGGACUGAGACACGGCCCAGACUCCUACGGGAGGCAGCAGUGGAGAAUAUUGUACAAUGGGCGAAAGCCUGAUCCAGCAAUGCCGCGUGAGUGAUGAAGGCCUUAGGGUUGUAAAGCUCUUUUACCCGGGAUGAUAAUGACAGUACCGGGAGAAUAAGCUCCGGCUAACUCCGUG